rnacentral:misc_RNA from 1 species
UGCAGCGGUGUUGCGGUGGCUAGGGGCGUCGCACGAGUUUCCCAGAGGUGUCCAAUUUACUCGCGUACUUCUUCGUUUGUUGUAAUAGUUAGCGGCUGGUUGUGCACAGAAAACUCAAGAGUGUGAGGAAGCGUUUGUCGGGGGUGGUAUGCGAGAGUGAUCAGUCUUGUACGUACGAGUUUUCGAGCCGUACAGGGAAGAAAUCAACCGUGAGGUCGCCGAUUCCGGCGAUCACCUUUCAUAACUGCGUCGCAUCCUUUAGCGCCGCGUCAAUGCAGUCGAUCGUCUCACUUCGGCGUUGCCGGCGCCUGAUGUCGCCAGGUUCUCGCCGCCUUCUAAGAACGUCGCCUGCCUGUCUGGAUGCCGACGAAGACGAUGCGUCCGACCUCACGAAACAGCGCUGGGACGUGGUCAUCUCGGGAGCUGGGCUCGCUGGAGCCGCUCUAGCUUGUGCAUUGGGGACAUCGGAGGCAUUUGCGAACAAGCGCGUGCUGCUCAUAGACAGGCGUCAACUCCGCUCGGAUCACGACGAGGAGAAUUGGAGCAACCGCGUGUACGCAUUGACUCCCGGAAGCAGGAGCUUCUUGCAAGCCCUUGGUGUGUGGGAGAUGCUGCCCAAGUCCAAAGUGCAGACCAUCAAGCGAAUGCGAGUUUGGGAAUCGCACUCCACUGCCUCCAUCGCCUUCUUCGGACGCACACUGGCCAAUGAAAUUGCAUUCGAUGUCGACAUGGGCAACCUUGCAGAUGCACUUUAUCGCCGGCUGGCACAGCUGCCCUCACAAGUGGUGCGUGUCGUCUCUGGAGUCAAGGUGAUGAACUAUGAGCUGCCAACAUUGGAAAGGCAUGACCCUAUAGAUCCUUGUCCACCGGUCAGAAUACAGGUGCUUGGAGAAGACGAGCCACUGGAAACCUCCCUUUUGGUGGGAGCGGACGGCUUCAACUCGCAAGUUCGCAAGAGCAUGGCUGUCAGGUGCCUCCAAUGGAACUACAACCAAAAGUCCAUCAUUGCCACCGUGAAACUGUGCGAGCCAGUGGACAAUACGGUGGCCUGGCAACGAUUCCUUCCAAACGGUGUGGUGGCCCUGCUGCCGCUCGACUCCGAACACUCUUCAUUGGUGUGGACAGUGAGAUCGGACCUGGCUGAUAAACUGAUGCAGCUGCCCGAGGACAGCUUCGUGGAUGCCCUCAACAAGAGCCUCUGGGGUGAAGGCAGGCAAAUGCCCCUGGUCAACACAGCCCUCUCCACAUUUGCGUCUGCACUUCAGAGGUUUGGCAUCGCGCCCCCUGCAUGCAGCGAUGCCCCAAUGCGCAUCCUCUCACUAGUGCCAGCGAGCCGGGCCACCUUCCCUCUGGGUCUGAGCUAUGCUGCCCACUAUGUACUACCCCGGGUAGCCCUCAUCGGUGACGCUGCCCAUCGAGUGCACCCAAUGGCUGGUCAGGGUGCGAACCUUGGCUUUGGUGACGCCCAGGAACUGGCUCAGCUCUUGGUUGAGUCUGUGUAUAAUGGAGAGCCAAUAGUGAGCUUCGACACGCUCUUACGGUACGAGACGUUGCGCCAGCGGCACACGGUGCCCUUCUUGUUGGCCAUUGAGGCUUUGGUUGGGCUGUACCGUUUCAACCUGCUGCCUGUGGUGGCUGCCCGCAGCCUGGGACUGCAGCUCAUCGACUCCUGGGUCGGUCUCAAGGAAAGGAUAGUUGAUCGUGCAUCAUAUUGAGUGAGGUUGCAAGCAGUCUGCCUGCAUAGGCAUUUUGUACAGAAUGAUCACAUAUGAGAACCUAUGGGUGCUCCCGCUAGGUAGCGUGCACUGUAUUGGAAUCGCAAAUGGUGCAUAGUGCAAAGCUGCUAAACCAAGUCAGCGAGUGGUGCCUUGCACUUCAUUUUCUUCAAAUGCUAAUUGCAUUAAUGUUGACAGUCAUAUGGACAUGGUUUCUGUUGGAUUACUUUAUCCUUCGUAAUUGUACUGAAUUGUAAUUGAACUACCCCAAGCCACAACUCUCUUGAGUUACAUUCCUAGUACAUGAGGCUCUGUUUCCCGUUUCAUUGUAAGCGCCAAUUGUUUUUAUCUCAUGUCCCUUGUUUUGUGUACUGAGCUCAGUAGAAUUAUGAAUGAUUUGUUCCAACUAGCCCAACUCACAACUAUCUUUUUACCUGUUCGUAUUAUUCGCUUUAACACUACCGACUAUACAAAUCGCGCAGAUAGUUGCCAAACUUGACUGUUGUUUCAAUAUACUUGGUCAAAAACAGACCUCCUGUAUUCGAAGAGCACCGCAAAAUCCUAAACGUGGUGCAAAUAGAGAACUGCAGUGUUAAUGUGGAUUACGAUAUGCUUGCGUGUACAGAAUGCAUUUUAUACUCUCCAGUACCAGCAAGCUUGAAUAUGUCAGCGGCAGCAGCGCACACUUUCUGUCAGAGGGUUUGAAAUUUUGAAAAUAUUGUGGGAUUGCAUGUGCGGGAGGAGGAGGGGGGGUAGCACCUUGCAUAAUAUGCGCAUUUUCUUGCUUCACUUGAAGGAAUCAAACAGCAAUAAAAUGCCAAACAAUAAUAUCAAAGAUGAUGUUUAUUUCAUCGUUUUACUGAAAGGUCUUCAAAGAGCUUCCUGGCACUGUCAAGCUCUUUGACAAGCUCUUGUUUGCAUAUAUUGCCACAUGCAGUUUCAUGUAACUGACCCGUUGCACGUAUAACCAGCCUUGCACGCGCCGCAUCAAGAUUUCGAACAUUGCUCAUUGUUUUGGAUUGUUCUGUUAAGUUUGAGCGUGCAACGCGAACAUUAGAGAUUAUUCUGGAGCUAACGCAAUCACCAACGAUAAACCUGGAAUCUUCGAUGCCACAUGUAUAAAUGCCUACGUGCCUUACCGCUGAUCAGAUUACUCGACAGCCCAUGACUGUUCAUGCUGCUAUUGGUGUACAGCGUGAAUCGCUUGUACGUUGACUUUUCAUUUGCCGGGCACAAGUUCGCCCAAAUAAAUCAUCCUUUAUUUCCCGGUCUUGCUGCAACCU